rnacentral:rRNA from 1 species
UAGAGUUGUACUCGUGCGCAGACACGCUGCGGCGUGCUUAACACAUGCAAGUGGAGCGACGAACCAGGCUUCGGCCUGGGGCGAGAGCCGCGAACGGGUGAGUAACACGUGGGUAACCUGCUCGAUGACCGGGACAACCCGGGGAAACCCGGGCCGUAAUACCGGAUGUGCUCUUCUCACAUAAGUGAGGAAUGGAAAGGAAGCUUCGGCCUCCGCAUCGAGAUGGGCCCGCGGCCCAUUAGCUUGUUGGUGAGGUAACGGCUCACCAAGGCCGCGAUGGGUAGCUGGUCUGAGAGGACGAUCAGCCACACUGGGACUGAGACACGGCCCAGACUCCUACGGGAGGCAGCAGUGGGGAAUCUUGCGCAAUGCGCGAAAGCGUGACGCAGCAACGCCGCGUGGGGGAAGAAGGCCUUCGGGUUGUAAACCCCUUUCAGGAGGGACGAAGCCCGGGCGGUUAAUAGCCGACUCGGGUGACGGUACCUCCAGAAGAAGCCCCGGCUAACUACGUG